GCUUGUACUCAGGGCAGGGUGAAAUUCCCGACCGGCGGUAUGGCCUGGAUUUCCCGGCCGAGCCCGCGAGCGCCCACCAGACCUUUGGUGGGGUCAGCAGAUCCGGUGAGACGCCGGAGCCGACGGUAUAGUCCGGAUGAGAGAGUGGAAGC
rnacentral:ncRNA from 2 species